AUUACCGAGUUUACAACUCCCAAACCCAAUGUGAACGUUACCAAACUGUUGCCUCGGCGGGAUCUCUGCCCCGGGUGCGUCGCAGCCCCGGACCAAGGCGCCCGCCGGAGGACCAACCAAAACUCUUUAUGUAUACCCCCUCGCGGGUUUUUUUACAAUCUGAGCCAUCUCGGCGCCCCUCGUGGGCGUUUCGAAAAUGAAUCAAAACUUUCAACAACGGAUCUCUUGGUUCUGGCAUCGAUGAAGAACGCAGCGAAAUGCGAUAAGUAAUGUGAAUUGCAGAAUUCAGUGAAUCAUCGAAUCUUUGAACGCACAUUGCGCCCGCCAGUAUUCUGGCGGGCAUGCCUGUCCGAGCGUCAUUUCAACCCUCGAACCCCUCCGGGGGGUCGGCGUUGGGGAUCGGCCCUUUACGGGGCCGGCCCCGAAAUACAGUGGCGGUCUCGCCGCAGCCUCUCCUGCGCAGUAGUUUGCACACUCGCAUCGGGAGCGCGGCGCGUCCAUUGCCGUAAAACACCCAACUUUCUGAAAUGUUGACCUCGGAUCAGGUAGGAAUACCCGCUGAACUUAAGCAUAUCAAUAAGCGGAGGAAAAGAAACCAACAGGGAUUGCCCCAGUAACGGCGAGUGAAGCGGCAACAGCUCAAAUUUGAAAUCUGGCCCCUAGGGUCCGAGUUGUAAUUUGUAGAGGAUGCUUUUGGUGAGGUGCCGCCCGAGUUCCCUGGAACGGGACGCCACAGAGGGUGAGAGCCCCGUCUGGCUGGCCGCCGAGCCUCUGUAAAGCUCCUUCGACGAGUCGAGUAGUUUGGGAAUGCUGCUCAAAAUGGGAGGUAUAUGUCUUCUAAAGCUAAAUAUUGGCCAGAGACCGAUAGCGCACAAGUAGAGUGAUCGAAAGAUGAAAAGCACCUUGAAAAGAGGGUUAAAUAGUACGUGAAAUUGUUGAAAGGGAAGCGCUUGUGACCAGACUUGGGCGCGGCGGAUCAUCCGGGGUUCUCUCCGGUGCACUUCGCCGCGUCUAGGCCAGCAUCAGUUCGUCGCGGGGGAAAAAGGCUUCGGGAACGUGGCUCCUCCGGGAGUGUUAUAGCCCGUUGCAUAAUACCCUGCGGUGGACUGAGGACCGCGCAUCUGCAAGGAUGCUGGCGUAAUGGUCACCAGCGACC
rnacentral:rRNA from 1 species